UGUAUCCAGCCAUGCCGCGUGAGUGAAGAAGGCCUUAGGGUUGUAAAGCACUUUCAGUAGGGAGGAAGGUAGUGUAGUUAACACCUGCACUAUUUGACGUUACCUACAGAAGAAGCACCGGCUAACUCCGUGCCAGCAGCCGCGGUAAUACGGAGGGUGCGAGCGUUAAUCGGAAUUACUGGGCGUAAAAGCGCAUGCAGGCGGCCUGUUAAGUCAGAUGUGAAAGCCCCGGGGCUUAACCUCGGAAUUGCAUUUGAAACUGGCAGGCUAGAGUCUUGUAGAGGGGGUAGAAUUUCAGGUGUAGCGGUGAAAAUGCGUAGAGAUCUGAAGGAAUACCAGUGGCGAAGGCGGCCCCCUGGACAAAGACUGACGCUCAGAUGCGAAAGCGUGGGGAGCCAAACAGGAUUAGAUACCCUGGUAG
rnacentral:rRNA from 1 species